AUCCAGCUGACGAGUCCCAAAUAAGACGAAACUCGGGUCAUGGAU
rnacentral:hammerhead_ribozyme from 1 species